rnacentral:lncRNA from 1 species
AACCCAUCUUUUCCUGGUUGAAUCGUAGUAUAAAAUGUUAUUUAUAUGUAGUUGAUAAUGUUAGAUGUACCACUUAACCAGCUUUAUAAAAGAAACUGAAGUUAUGCUAAUGAAGUAAUAAUAAUGACAAUAUCUUGCUAGUGAAGAGGCGAAGAAAAGUGGUUUCCUAAUCUCGAAUCACAAUAAGUAACAAGGAAGUUGUAAAAAUACUGAUGUAUACACGUUUAAAACCACGGCCUGGAAGUUCCCAUUGUGGCCCAGCAGUAACAAACCUGACUAGCAUCCAUGAGGACGUGGGUCUGAUCCCUGGCCUCGCCCAGUGGGUUAAGGAUCUGAUGUCGCCAUGAGCUGUAGGUCGUAGGUCGUAGGUCUGCUGUAGGUCGCAGAUGCAGCUUGGAUCCCACAUCACCGUGGCUGUGGUGUAGACUGGCAUCUGCAGCUCCGAUUUGACCCCUAGCAUGGGAACCUCCAUGUGCCGCCCCUGCCGCCCUAAAAAGACAAAACAAAAAACAACAACAGCGAAAAACAAAACAAAACAUGGUCUGCCUUAAGUCACAGGAAGGCUAUUUCUUCCCCUAAAUCUGGGCUUUGUUUUCUUGUCCCCUUUUCUUAGAUCAGAAUUUUCAAAGAAGAAUUACUUAUUUUACUGUUUCUAGCAUUUUAUUUUUUUUUAAGAGACUGAUCAAAACUUGAUUUUAAAACAAAGGAUUCAGAGUGUGUCCGUUUGUUCUGGUUUUAGGUGUGUAAGGUGGGAGUAAAAACGCUGACUUAAACACCUUUGGCGUUUUCUGCAGUAAAGGACCACGGAGAGAGAAACGACUUCUCUGAUUGUGUCUCUCUACUGGAAUGUCAGCUCCUCAGGGACAGGCAUGGGUCCCUUUUCUUCAUUGCUGUGUCCCCAGUACCUAGAGCAAGCAGGGCCAUGGCUCACAGGAAGCGCUCAAGCAGGCGUUGAAUAAGCUAAUAUAAAUAGUGGCAGUACCCCGGAGUUACCUGUAACCUGCAUCUCUAGGUAGCUGGGGGAGUUACAGCAAUGGAUUUUCUGUGAAAUUUUGCCUUUUGUGUCAAAAAUGCCAUUUUAAUGUAUUAUGGACAUUUCUGAAUUGUAUCAUACAUUUUAUUCAUUUCUUGACUAGGGUACUCCAGACACACUUCGUCUGCUGACUCGCUGUGAGUAAUAACUGCUGUUAAUUCCUAGGUGGGCAGAGAAGCUUGUGGGACUGCCUUUGGAUAAUCAUAGCGAACAGAUAAAAACUAAUAUCCUAAUUGUUUUUUAUAUUCCUGCCUACCCACGGUUAUCCAAGCAAUAGUCUAAGACUGACUCCCUUUGUCGUAUCAAGAAAUGCAAAAGACCUUUUUGGCAAAUAGUUACUUUUUUAGUAGCUUUUGUUUUCAGGUUCAGAGAACUGUCUGGAAAAUCUGAAAUAUCAAGCUAUAUUGAUGUCUGAAGUAGGCCUGCUGUAAAAUAGGUUACACCAUGUAGCUGAAGGCCUGUGCUUAUGAGGAAAUGUUCAUCUCCAAAGCAGAAUUAUUUUUGUGCGUGUGUUUUCCAUUUGGUUGCACUAUUUGUUUGUUUUUUUUUGGGGGGGGGGGGGGGGGGGGGGAGUUCUUUUUAGGGCUGCACCUGUGAGAUGUGGAGGUUCCCAGGCUAGGGGUCAAAUCACAGCCACAGCCUCAGCAAUGUGGGAUCCAACCUACACCACAGCUCACGGCAACACUGAAUCCUUAACCCACUGAGCCAGGCCAGGGAUCUCACCCAUGUCCUCAUGGAUACUAGUCGGGUUCGUUACUGCUGAGCCGCAGCAGGAACUCCUGUUGUAUUUUAAGGGAGUUUUUUUGCCUUCCAGUUUGUUCUCUUUCUGCUCUUCCACUCAGAAGGAUUUAAUUUCUGCAAAUGUAAACCCUAUUAUCAAGAGCCACAAAAACCCUGCUAAAUAGGAAGGCUCAUCUUCAAUUCAUCAGGCAAAAUGGGAGUCACUGAAAGAUUUUGAUCCAUAUCUUUUCGUAUGACUGACCCAGCAGAUUUAUCGUAUUUUGUCUGCUAGACGGAGCCCAUUGACAGGUCAAAGCCCUUUCCUCCAGUCCAGCACUCCUCUUACCUCUUGGCAUUGACUAGAUAUGCAGUAAAUAUGUGUUGAACUAAAGUUCAAAUGAAUAUGACAAAAGAGAAUUUCAAGAAAAAGGAAGAGGAGUUCCCUGGUGGCUCAGCAGGUUAAGGAUCAGGUGUUGUCACUGCUGGAUCGCUGCUGUGGUUCAGGUUCAAUCCCUGGCCCCAGCAUUUCCACAUGCCAUGGGCAUAAGCAAAAAAGAAAAGGAUAAGGGAAGCGUGAUCGGCAUUCACUACUACCUAGAGCUCAGGCAGAAUGAGGAUUGUUUGUAGUGAGAAAUGAGAAUAUUGCAAGGGACCAGGGGAGGCAUUUCAGGUGAAUGGUUGGGGCACCCAGAUAGGUAAGAGUUCAGGAGUACAUGAGCAGAGAAAUGGGAGAGUCAGGUAGAAUUUAUUCUUAGGAGCAGUUUGGCGAAGGGCUAAGAAUCCCUCUGCUCUGCUCUGACAGUACCCUUGCCUCAUCGAACUCAAACUUUCGUGUGUGUUUUUCCUGCUAGGUUGAAUUUCAGUAAGCAGCGAAGAAGAAAGACGCCCGUAUAUGUUGGGUCUGAUACUGUGUUCCUACUUUCUUAAACUAAAUGACAUUUAACUUUAGGACAUUUUUUUUGUUUUUAAUAGGUCCAUUUCAAUUACUUCUUGUCACUUCACCCAAAAGUGUCAAAUUGAGCACAGCUUCAAGGAGUUGGAAAUAUUUGUUCUGAGGUCAGUUUUUUCACAAAUGGGGUUGUGUCGCAUGGCUCUGCUUCAGUUAUAUUUCGCAAGGUGACAGGUUGACAUUUGUAUUAAGUUCUGUAAUGUUCUAUUAGUUAUGUUCUUAUAACUCAUAGUUCUGAUUUGGAAGAUAUCUCGCCGUGAGCAUCAGUGGGAAGGAGAGUCUGUCGCACUGCUGACAUCCACGGUGAUGCAUAAAUUGCCUUUUAUAGUUCUCAGCAGGGCUUCCCGUAUGGUCUAUAAAUAUUACUUAUCUGAAAAGGUACUUAAGGUAAAUAUUUUAUUAUCAAAUAUAUUUUAAUCCAUUUGCUUUAAUUAUAUCUCACUGGCAUAUUUAUAAGACUUGUCUCUAGUCAUUCAGGGAUUUUUUUUUUUUUUUCCUAGCUGAAAAUUGUAAUAAUUUUUUUUCCAGCCAGAAACAUUGUAAAAUGUAGUUAGGUACUUACGACACGGCUUCCUGUAGGUAACAGCACUGUAAGGAGCUCUCACUCACGCGCACGUAAAACCACAAGGUCUGCCUUGCUGUCGUUAAACUAGGCUCCAGAGAAAACUCUAGGGAAUCUAACUAAAUCCUAGGUCACUGCCCACUGAGAAGAUCCUGGGCUAGGUCUGUGCCAGACUUUGGAGAGGGUGUUUGCAGGCACGGAUCCUGAGAAGAGCGGGGGCACAUGGUGACAGUGACAUGCUCAAGCUUGGUCUCCUGUGGGCAGCCUCGCUCUGCCCCAGGGAGCUCUAGCUUCGUGGGAAUGUAGCGGUAGAUUCUAGCUCUUCCGAUGUUUUAGAAAGGCAGGAAAUUUAGAUUUUUAGAUUUUUGGGUUUUGGCAUCUCCGGAUUCUUAAAUCUUGGUAGCUAACCGAAGAGGUUUAAAAGCUUUAUGCGCCGUCUCCCCAAAAAAGACGUUUAGAAGCCCUGGGGUUGCUCGUUGACUGGCAUUUGACCACCUGUCACCAUCUCCACCGCCUGGCUCAGCCCACAGUCCCCUCUCCCUGGGCCAUGGCCGUCACCUCCUGGCUUCUCUCUCUGCCCCUGUUUGCUCCCCCAGAGUCUGUUCUCAGCACCGCAGCUCUUGGGACUCUGCUAAGAUCACGUUAGGUCAGGCCUUGUCAUUCCUUUUUGCUCCACGCAGACUCUGAGCCAUGGCUUUUUCAGACACCUUGAGAAAAAACAAUUGGAAUUCCUGUUGUGGCUCAGUGGGUUGAGAACCCAACUAGUAUCCAUGAGGAUGUGGGUUCAGUCCCUGGCCUCACUCAGUGGGUUAAGGAUCUGGCAUUGCCUUGAGCUGAGCUGUGGUGUAGGUUGCAGCUGCAGCUCCGAUUGGACCCCUAGCCUGGGAACGUCCAUAUGCCUCAGGUGUGGCCCUAAAAAGACAAGAAACGAAACGAACAACAACACCAGCCAAAGACUCGGGUUCAGAUGUCAGGCUCCCGUCUUGGACUUCCUCCUGCCCUGUGCUCCUCCAAGGACAGGCUUCUGGUAGCUCUCUGAUCUCUCCAAGGAGAGCAUAAUAAAGUUGACAUCAUAUCCAAAGGUAGGGGGUUCAGAGAAGGUGGAGAAAAGUCAGAUGUCCUCCCUCAAAAAAAGGAGAGAAAGAAUCUGUGAGGGAAGGGACCAAGAAGAUUCCUAGGAUGAAAAGGCUUAAACGUGAAAAUUGUAUUGCACACAUUUAGGCUGCCAGUUUCUGUCCCUUCUCGGGGGCUUAAAUGCGCCCCCAGAAGGCACUGCUCACUCAGCAGGUAAGAGCUCAGUGACUGCCUGACGCCGACUGAAUGCCGAGAAACACUUCAGGCGUGUUUCAGAAGGGCCGUCUCCCCUGCCCGUGGGCUCGCUGUGUUGCAGGCAGUGUGAGGAGCAGAAAGUAAAUACAGAGUAGAAGCAGAAAAGUCGGCUGAAAAUUGAUGGACUACCUUGCUUGCUUCUAUUUUCCUCUUCCUCUCUCUCCAUCUCUCUCUGUUGGCUGAAUUUGGCUGAAAUUUUUUACUCUACUAUUUAGCCAAAGCAGUAUUCAGAAUAUCAAGUCCAUAUGGUAAUAAUUUAUUAAAUAUUUAUAAUCACAAGUAUAUAGUGA